rnacentral:miRNA from 1 species
AGAGUUGAUGUUGAUGACGCA